rnacentral:lncRNA from 1 species
GGGAAUGCAAAGUAUAGAGAUGGUUCUGGAUUUUAAAAGAAAGAGAGAAAAGUGUGAAGGUAGUUAAAUCCUUUGAUCUCUUAAGUGUUAAGAAGAAAUAGAACCAUAGUGUUUAUAAAGAAAACCCCCUAUCCACUAGUUUAUCAUAAGAAACUUUCCUUAUACUUAGAGCAAAAAGGGAAAUUGGGAUGAAAAGAGUUGAAGGGUAGACUAGGAUCAUAUGGGCUUAGACAAUUAGGAUAUCACUUGGGUACUUUGGGUAGUCAAGAUGUUAUUCAUGUAUGCAUUUGUUGGUCCUUACCUUUAGCAUUCUCCCAAAAGCUCAAUCUUAUUCAUAGAGAGAUCCCAACACUUAAACAACUAAACCCUCCUAGCCAAAUGAGUUUAUAUUCACUUUACAACCAG